ensembl:lncRNA
AAAAAAACAAAAAAAAAAAAAACUGUUGUUUUAUGGAAAUUUGUAAGUGCAAAAAUGUGUGAGUUCACGCCAGAUUCAACAACUCAGUUGUGAGAGUGAGCUUGUGAUGGAGUGAGUGAAUUUAUUUUGAUUAUGAUUGAAUGAAUAAAUGAGUGAGUGACUGAGUGAGUGAAUAAUUGAGUGAAUGGUUGAGUGAGUGAGUGAGUGAGUGUGCAUGUGUGAGUUGGCAGGUCCAUGAGAUGUUUAAACAAUAUUGGUAAUAUAAGAAAAGAAAUGAUUUCUGCCUGAAGGCAGUAGGACAACCAUGACAAAUGACAAAAACACUGAAAAAUGCUAAUUUAUGCAAGUUAGGUGUCUCACUGCAUGGUGUGUACGACAUGUGUUUUGAAUUAUAUAUAUAUAAAAAAUACUGUAAAAAGUGGACUGAGACUUCUAGAUGUCAUUAUAGCAGUUUAGCAGAGUCUGAACAAAUGUAAUAUGUGAUCAGAGAGAUCUUCUGCAAUUUUUAGGGGCAGUGGUGGCUCAGUGGUUAAAGGCUCUGUGCUGCUGCUCAGAAGGGCACGAUUUCAAGCCACAGCACUGCCAAGCUACCACUGUUGGGCCCUCGAGCAAGGCCCUUAACCCUCAAUUGCUCAGUUAUAUGAAUAAGAUAAAUGUAAGUUACUCUGGAUAAGAGCAUCUGCCAAAAAGUUUCAUAAAUGAAAAUUUAGAAACAAUCACCAAAAUUUUAAUGUAAUAUAUAUUAGGUAUUGAGGAAUUAUGGAAAUUAUGUCUUAAAAUACAAAUCAAUAGUGAAUGCAUUUUAAUUAACUUUAAAGUACAUCUCUGUCCUAGAUUGUCCAGACAAGUAGUAAGAGAGUAUAGGAUUGUUGAAAUGUGAGACUGAAACUCCACAAAUUCAUGACUAGCAAAGCUACUUGCCUAUUAUUCUGUGCUGGAUACUACCCUUAGGCUAGUCUAUGUUCAUUUCACUGCACAGCAGCUCCAUGCAGCCAGUGGGUGAACAUAACUAGCUUUUAAUUAAAACAGAGAACAAAAAUUAAAAGUAGAGGGAUAGGACAGUGAUUUGAAGACAGUAUGAAGCUGUCAGCUGGUCAUGACAACUCCCAUAAGGAACACUGCAUCUCAUAAUGGAUGUAGAAGAUCUAUAUUGUUUCGUUGCUCUAAUUUGACCCUUCCAGCAAUGGCUCAGGCAACAGCUCUGAUGCAGGAACUGGAUGCCCAUUCUGCGCACCGAUUAGCUAACUGUGGUCCAUCAAGCAGCCUGGCAUCUCCUCAAGCAGGGAAAAAAGUUGGAGUUAAUGAUGAUUUGGAGCUCGUUGCGUGCAGAAGAAGCCAAGUCUACCCUGAAGCACACAAUGCUUCCAUAGCACUGCACAUUCCUCCGUUAUUUUCUUUCAAUCUGAACUUUCAGGACAUCAUUGUAAGUGGAUGAUGUACAAUCAAGUCAUCUGGAAUCAGGAUCAGAGAUGACUGGUGAGGCAAACUAAGGAGAAAAGGAAAGACCUUAGUUGUAGUUGGUAGUUCUCUUUACUUUGCAGUGUUUCAUCCGUCUGACAACCAGGGCAUUUUGCAGCCUCGUAGCUCAAACAUUCUCCCAAUGGGAAAUCUCAUUAUUUCUUCUUAUUAUGUAUUAUUUCUCAUUCAUUAUUUCUCAUUAGGCCAUUGCGUUAUGCAAUUAGAGCUUUGAUGUAAUGCAAUGAUAUAUAUCCGUUUUGCCCUGGUAUUUUCAAACUCUAUUUAGAUAUUGUAGAUGGCUAGUCCAUGGUACUGAAACACUUGGAUAUGGCAAAGAUAUUUGCAAGAAUAGCCAUUUCUUGUGGUGGUGUUUAUCUUAAACAAGCAUCGACUGAAUUAAAGCUUUUGAAAGUGAAAUGCAAUGAUUGGCUUCAUUCAAAAUUGUCCUUUUAUGUGAAGACCAUUUCUAGGUUUCUGAUUGAUGAUUAAUUUGCCAGUGGGUUAAGAGAUACUUAAAUGGACAAAAAGCAUGCUGCUUCAUUGGGCAUACAGUACUGGUGCCCUUUAAUGUGCUGUGAUUGAUUUAUCAUGCACUAGCUGGCAACAGCAAGACCACCAUUUCAAAGUUUUUGAAUGUUUUUGCUACUGUUGUUUUGAAAACACACAGUUGAUGGCAUUAAACUUUCUAAAGUGUUGUGUCUGUUGAGGAACUUAUUAUGAAGCAGGCAUUUAAUGUUGCACCAACAUUUUGAGCAAAGAUUUUUGUUAAUGCUGACUUUUUCACAUACCCAUGACCUCCUAAAAUGAAUGAGUAGAGUGGCUUUGAUUAUCUAUAUCUAGUUUUGUGGUAGAGGAUUAAACAUUACCUUUUGAAUUGGCAUGUAUGAGGCAAAAUGUAGGAGGUAAUAAUGGAUGAAUCAGUAGUGUAAAUAAGAAUAUAUGAUAUAAUAUGAUAUAAUAUGAUAUCAUAUUAUAUGAUAGGAUAUGAUAUGAGAGAGAACAUCUCAAAUACCACAUGUGCUUCUCUUUUUAUAGUCAGUGUACAGGACUAUAUCAAGGAUUUUAAAAUUUUAGUGAGGUUUCUUGUAGAAAUGUAACCUAGUUCAUAAUUAAUUGUAAUAAUCACAAUGCCUAAUGUGUACUAAUUUCAUAUCUGUUAUAUUAUACUUCUAUUAUUCCAUAAACUGCUCCAACUUCAUUUAGGCUAUUUAAUAUGAUUAUGUUAAAUAUUUUAGCUUACACUGAUCUCUAACGCUUUCUCUGUGCUUGUCCUCUUUUUUCUUACUUUUCCCCACUGAUACUGAAUACACACACAAACACACUAACAAGCUGAUGUUACCACAACUAGCAUGCUGAUUUAGCUAGCAUUGUUCUGAGUAGUUUACAAUUUACAAACACUAAUUACCCUCAUAAAAACUCACAUACAUCAUAUUUUCCCAUAUAAGCUAAAACAUGUAUGUCAUAUCGAUGUCAGAUGCAUAUCUCUCAACAAAAACUUAAAAUCUGUUAGUGUAGUAUCAUGUGAGAGGUGAACACAAUGGCGAGUAAGUCUAAACCUAAAGCUGCUCUGAGGUCAGUCAAGAACCAGCCAUUUCUGCUAAUUGGGUUUUGGGAUACAAGUUUUUCUGCAUAGCAGACUUCAUUCUGCGACCAAAUUAUCAGGAUGUGGCUGUCUCCACAUAGAAUACGAGUUGGUAUGUGGGAGGUAAAAAACAUCAAAGUUCACACUUUAGUGCCAUUAUAGGUGGUUCCGGCCAUGCUACUAUACUGUCAGUUCCAAUAAAAAGCUGUGGUCUCGUUGUCUGUUUGUCCCAGGGAAGGUGUGGCCUCUGCUCCUGUCUGUCCCAGGGAGGUGGGACCUCUGUGUCUGUCUCUCUGAAUGAAGGACGUGUUACCUGUGUCUGUCUCUCUGAAUCAAGGAGGUGUGGCCUCUCUGUCUGUCAAUCCCAGUGAAGGAGGUGUAGCCUCUGCGUUUUUCUGUUCGAAUAAAGGAGGUGUGGCCUCUCUGUCUCUCUGAAUCAAGAAGGUGUGGCCUCUGUGUAUGUCUCUUUGAAUGAAAGAGGUAUGGCCCCUGUGUCUUUCAAUUCCAGUGAAGGAGGUGUGGCCUCUGUGUCUGUCUCUCUGUAUCAAGGAGGUGUGGCCUCUCUGUCUCUCUGAAUCAAGAAGGUGUGGCCUCUGUGUAUGUCUCUUUGAAUGAAGGAGGUAUGGCCCCUGUGUCUUUCAAUUCCAGUGAAGGAGGUGUGGCCUCUGUAUCUGUCUCUCUGAAUCAAGGAGGUGUGGCCUAUGUGUAUGUCUUUCUGAAUGAAUGAGGUGUGAAAUAUGUGUAUGUUUCUCUGAAUGAAUGAGGUGUGGCCUCUGUGUCUGUCAACCCCAGUGAAGGUGGUGUGGCCUCUGUGCCACUGAGGGAGGCAUGAAUUACUCAUAUAUUCAUAUUAGUUUAAUUGUUUGCUAAAUUAAAUAUAUUCAACAAGAUGUGAAUGAGUGUGUAAAUAAUUGUUGUUUGUGUGCAUGGUGCUCUGUGAUGGGCUGGCAUCCCAUCCAGGCGGUACUCCGGCUCCCAAUUAAUUUUGAUCCAAAAUUUGUCCAAAUUUAAACUUAAAGUGGUCCAAAAUAUUAUUAACUAUUUUUUACAAAUCAAGAUGGAUCAAGAGCAUCUUAAAAUGGAUCAGUAACAAUUGUUUUUUAUAGACCGAUUUAACUAAGCCCAGGCUAGACUCAUAACGGAAACAUUAUAUAAAUUGCUGGCCAGUGGUUAUCAUUCAAAUUGGAUUGAUCAGAUAUCGAGAUGCACAUGCUCACCACUAUUCUAAUGCUCCCUAUCUGUAGAUAAGCUUUCUGAUUAGAAUAUUCAUCAUUUCAUCUUCUUAUUUUAUUAUUCAUAAGACCCAGAUGCAAGUCAAUUAAUUCCUGCUGAUUAUGACAUCGAUAAUUGCACCUUUAUUGGAUAAUUUAUGGAAAUUUGAGACUUAGGUGGGCCAGAGAUUACAGCCAUCAUUCUCACUCAUUUAGUCAAUUUAACCUGCGUUUACUCAACAAGGCUUUUCAGAUACUGCUUGUUCUCCAGAGCCUUUUUUUUUUAAUCCGGGUCAGCCUGCUUAAGUGUUUUGGGGUACUUUGCCCUUGCUAAGCUAAAUGGGUAAAAAUAUUUGGAAAGCUCUGAGCUCCAAGGGCUUCCCUACAGAGAACACAAGUUUAUCAUAAGUUUCCAGUUGUUUUUAAAGACAACCACAUCCUUGCUGUUUCGGUUUCCUUUGGGUAGAAUCCCUAGAAUUUCUUAAGUAUUCAAUACAACAAAAACAAAGCUCUGUUCUUGAUUGGUAAUAAAAAUACAUUAUAUUGUUUCCACAGUGCUCCUUUUCAAUGUUGCUACGUUAAGAUUAGAUGCAUGCAUAAAGCUGAUAUACUGUAAUGCAUGCAAUCUACAAAUGAGACUUAUUUAGUCAAGCUUGAGGACAAAAAGAAAGACUUGAAAGAGCAUGACUGCCAUACUCAUUUGGAGCCCAGAUACAUUUCAUCUUCUCAUUUAAAUAAUUUGCUCUGAAGUGAACUUGAUUCAAUGUGAAAGUAAUUACAGUCUAUUAUAUUCAAACAAGAUGUUGUAAACCUUUGGUCAUGCUAAUCAAAUCUUCUUUUAUUCCAAAUUAAGAUUCUACUUUUCUCUCUAUUCUGCUCCGUUUCAUAUUUGAUACUUAUUAUCUGUUUUUCUUGAUUAUCCCUCAUCUAAAAAAUGGACAAAAAUUACUGCCCCAAUGCAUACAAAAGGUCUGUUUCAGAGAGGGAAAAAUCAUUCUCAUUCACCCAACAACAAAGAGGGCAAAUGAAUCACACUUUCUAUUUCCAGACGUCUUCUUUUGUACAUGAAAUCUCUCGAAUGGAUUACAACCUUAUUAGUCUCUCUGUACAUGGGAAUCAUACAUGCUACGUUCUGUUUCAUACACAAGAACACAUAUUCCUGCUGUAUUCCUGGUCUGACAAAGAAGGUAUACAGUAAGCAUGUAAUCGAAUGAACAGAUAAUGUGUUCUAAACGGACACAAAUACAGAUACUGUACAAAUGGGAGGUCCAUUAUUAAUUUAUUUAUUUUUUUAGAAAGCUUGCCAGAAAGGUUAAGAAGGCAUCUGGUUGAGACUAGAGGUGUGCAUCUGGGGUGAGAUCCCACGGGACGCAUCAAAAAAGCCUUGUCCGUGGGAUGUUUUUACUGUAAUGUGGAUGCACAAAAGGGACUGAUAUGAAAAUGCUGAGUUGUACAAUGAAUUUACAGCAUCUUUAGUAACCGCAUGCGCAGUGUCGUGGUGGUUUAAAUUAGGAUGUUAGUUUGAUUAGAAUUCAGAAAAUAAAACAAAAUAAAUUUGUUUGAAAAUAAUACAGGCUUCUACCAGCAAAAAUUAUAACUGCAGGAUAUCUCUAAUUGAGAACUAGAAUGAUGUAGCUGAAGUUGAGAAAUUGUCAGAGCCAGAAUUAACAGGACAGCGCUGGCAUUUCUACCUCUUUUUCC